rnacentral:tRNA from 1 species
GGAAGCGUAGCUCAGUUGGCAGAGCAGCUGACUCUUAAUCAGCGGGUCGUGGGUUCGAGUCCCUCCGCUUCUACCA